UACGGAGGGGGCAAGCGUUGUCCGGACUUACUGGGCGUAAAGGGUGCGUAGGCGGCCUUCUAAGUCGAACGUGAAAUCCCCGGGCUCAACCCGGGAACUGCGUCCGAUACUGGGAGGCUUGAAUCCGGGAGAGGGAUGUGGAAUUCCAGGUGUAGCGGUGAAAUGCGUAGAUAUCUGGAGGAACACCGGUGGCGAAGGCGGCAUCCUGGACCGGUAUUGACGCUGAGGCGCGAAAGCCAGGGGAGCAACGGG
rnacentral:rRNA from 1 species